UUAACCCUUUCACACGUAAAUUUAAAAUAUUCUGGCUGAGCCCCCAGCGUGAGUUUUUCAAGGCGACCGUUAUUUAGAACGUUUCACUUUAUUGUUUCCAUGGUGACGCGUCAUUCCAUGGUGACACCGCAGCCACAAUAGCGCUGGAUGACAGAUGAUGUGCUUUUAUUUUAUUUUUCCUUUUUCAUUCAAAAUAUUCACAAAUUUGUUAACUAUAGCAUGAAAUAUCUGAUAUUCCGAUUGUCAAAUAUGUGCAAGUGGAUGUGUUUAGCUGUUUAAACACCUUUAUAACUAUCCCGUUAGAUGAGCUAUACGAGCGAUGGGCGCCGCCAUGUUAGUUUGCGCAGCAGUAACGUUACAGAGAAUCGGAUCUGUUGGAUUUACAACACGCGAAUUCAUCCACUUUUCCCGAAAUACAUGAAAGUUCACUGAUGCCAUUCAGACUCCUUCAGGUAGAAGUCGAGAAGUGAUGACACAUCUACCCAUUUACCUGCAGCCAUUGCUACUGGAGAAAGUGAUGCAGAAAGUGGGGAUUGUUGCUACUCACCACCAGAUGGGAUAGCCUCCAAGCACCCGAGAGCUGGACAACCACAUGCACAUGAGAUAUCCAACCAGGUACAAAU